UACAUGCCUUGCUGAAUUCAA
rnacentral:siRNA from 1 species